GCCGGGCGCGGUGGCGCGCGCCUGUAGUCCCAGCUACUCGGGAGGCUGAGCCCGCCGGAUCGCUUGAGCCCAGGAGUUCUGGGCUGCAGUGCGCUAUGCCGAGCGGGCGUCCGCGCUAAGGCCGGCAUCAAUAUGGUGAGCCCCGGGGAGCCGGGGGACACCAGGUUGACUAAGGAGGGGUGAACCGGCCCAGGUCGGAGACGGAGCAGGUCAAAGCUCCCGUGCCGGUCAUAUGGAAUAUUUCAUUGGCACAACCAGAUGCCAGUUUUUGGGUUUUGCUCCUCACUGCGCUUCC
rnacentral:SRP_RNA from 1 species